rfam:Ananas comosus cultivar MD2 ACMD2_Scaffold_7899, whole genome shotgun sequence.
UCAAAGGAUUUAUUGAAAUCCAUAAACAAUGUCAUAUUUUUCCAUU